AACGCGAAGAACCUUACCAGGGCUAGAAUGCCUCUGACAACCCUAGAGAUAGGGCUUCUUAGGGAAACCUAGGCAGAGUGCAAGGUGCUGCAUGGCUGUCGUCAGCUCGUGUCGUGAGAUGUUGGGUUAAGUCCCGCAACGAGCGCAACCCUUAUCUUUAGUUGCUAGCGGUUCGGCCGAGCACUCUAGAGAGACUGCCGUUGACAAAACGGAGGAAGGUGGGGAUGACGUCAAGUCCUCAUGGCCUUUAUGUCCUGGGCUACACACGUGCUACAAUGGCCGGUACAAAGCGCUGCAAACUCGCGAGAGGGAGCCAAUCGCAAAAAGCCGGUCUCAGUUCGGAUUGGAGUCUGCAACUCGACUCCAUGAAGCUGGAACCGCUAGUAAUCGCAGAUCAGCACGCUGCGGUGAAUACGUUCCCGGGUCUUGUACACACCG
rnacentral:rRNA from 1 species